AGGGCAGUAGCUCAAUUGGUAGAGUCCCGGUCUCCAAAACCGGCGGUUGGGGGUUCGAGUCCCUCCUGCCCUG
rnacentral:tRNA from 3 species